rnacentral:tRNA from 1 species
GGGAAUGUGGCUUAGUGGUGUAGAGUGCUUGCCUAGCAUGCAUGAAGCCCUGGGUUCCAUUCCUCAUUACCA